AGAUUGAACGCUGGCGGCAGGCCUAACACAUGCAAGUCGAGCGGCAGCACGGGUACUUGUACCUGGUGGCGAGCGGCGGACGGGUGAGUAAGUGCCUAGGAAUCUGCCUGGUAGUGGGGGGAUAACGCUCGGAAACGGCACUAAUACCGCAUACGUCCUACGGGAGAAAGCAGGGGACCUUCGGGCCUUGCGCUAUCAGAUGAGCCUAGGUCGGAUUAGCUAGUUGGUGAGGUAAUGGCUCACCAAGGCGACGAUCCGUAACUGGUCUGAGAGGAUGAUCAGUCACACUGGAACUGAGACACGGUCCAGACUCCGUAGGGAGGCAGCAGGUGGGAAUAUUGGACAAGUGGGACGAAAGCCGUAGAUCCAGCCAUGCCGCGUGUGUGAAGAGUCUA
rnacentral:rRNA from 1 species